CCGGAGAAUGUUAUCACGGGAGACACACGGCGGGUGCUAACGUCCGUCGUGAAGAGGGAAACAACCCAGACCGCCAGCUAAGGUCCCAAAGUCAUGGUUAAGUGGGAAACGAUGUGGGAAGGCCCAGACAGCCAGGAUGUUGGCUUAGAAGCAGCCAUCAUUUAAAGAAAGCGUAAUAGCUCACUGGUCGAGUCGGCCUGCGCGGAAGAUGUAACGGGGCUAAACCAUGCACCGAAGCUGCGGCAGCGACACUCAGGUGUUGUUGGGUAGGGGAGCGUUCUGUAAGYCUGYGAAGGUGGCCUGUGAGGGUUGCUGGAGGUAUCAGAAGUGCGAAUGCUGACAUAAGUAACGAUAAAGCGGGUGAAAAGCCCGCUCGCCGGAAGACCAAGGGUUCCUGUCCAACGUUAAUCGGGGCAGGGUGAGUCGACCCCUAAGGCGAGGCCGAAAGGCGUAGUCGAUGGGAAACGGGUUAAUAUUCCCGUACUUGGUGUUACUGCGAAGGGGGGACGGAGAAGGCUAUGUUGGCCGGGCGACGGUUGUCCCG
rnacentral:rRNA from 1 species